rnacentral:lncRNA from 1 species
UUUUUUUUUUUUUUUUUUUUUAAUGGCCACACCUGUGUCAUAUGGAAGUUCCUGGGCCAGGGGUUGAACUGGAGCUGAAGCUGCAGGGGCCUACACCACAGCUAUGGCAACAAAGGAUCCAAGCUACAUCUGCAACCUAUGCCAGAUCCUUAACCCACUGAGUAGGAUCAGGAAUUGAGCCAGCCUCUUUACAGAGACAGUGUUGGAUCCCUAACCUAUGAAGCCACAAUGGAACUCCAAAAAUCAUUAUUUUUUAAACAGUCUUAUUAAGGUAUAAUUGGUAUAUUUUAAAAAUGGACAUAUUUAAAGUGUACAAUUUGAUAAGUUUGGAGAUAUGCAUGUACCCUUGAAGCCAUCACCAAAACCAAGUAAUAAACACAUUUAUCACCUCCAAAAGUUUUCUCCUAUCCUUUGGUUUUUUAUUUUCUUUUGUUUUAUAGUAGUAUAAAAGAUCUACUCUUUUAAAAAAUUAUAGUUGAUUUACAAUGUUGUAUUAGUUUUUAGCUGUACAGCAAAGUGAUUCUUUUUUUUUUUGCUAUACUGUAGAUCCUUGUUUAUCUAUUUUAUAUAUAGUAGUGUGUAUCUGUUAAUCCCAAACUCUUAACUUAUCCCUCUAUCCCUUCUCCAUUUUAGUAAUCCCAAGUUUGUUUUAUAUUUAUGUGAGUCAGUUUCUGUUUUUUAAAUAAGUUCAUUUGUAUUUUUUUUAGGUUCCACAUAUAAGUAAUAUCUUAUGAUAUUUGUCUUUCUCUGUCUGGCUUUUAACAAAUAUUUAAUUAUAUAAUAUUAAAUCAUUCAUUACAGGCACUGUGCUGUACAGAUACCUCUAGAAUUUACUCAUCUUCCAUAAUUAUAACUUUUUCCCAUUGAGCAAUAACUUCACAUUUGUCCUUUCCCCAACCCUGGAAACCCUCCUUCUACCCUCUGUUUUUAUGCGUCUAUUUUAGAUACCUCAUAUAACUGGAAUCAUCCAAUAUUUGACCUUCUGUGACUGGCUUAUUUCACUUAGCAUAAUGUCUUCCAGAUUCAUCCAUACUGUCACAUAUGGAAGAAUUUGCUUUAUUUUUAAAGUUUAAUAAUAUUCCAUUGUAUACACAUUGUACCACAUUGUCUUUAUUCAUUCAUCUGUCAGUCAGCAUUUAGGUUAUUUCUAUAUCUUGCCUGCUCUGAAUAGUGCUGCAUUAAAUAUAGGAGUGCAGAUAUUUCUUUGAGAUUCCGAUGUCAAUUCUUUGGGAUAUAUAUCUAGAAGUAGGAUUGCUGAAUGAUAGAGUUGUUCUAUUUUUAAUGUUUGAGGACUCUCCAUACUGUUUCUCAUAGUUAUUAAGCAAUUUUACAUUCCCAUCAACAGUAUACAAGGAUUCAAAUUUCUCUACACCCUCAUUGACAUUGAUUAUCUUUUUUUUAAUCUUUUUUAAAAAAAUAAUAGCUAUUUUACCAAGUGGUAAGAAAAGCAUUUUAAUUUGAAUUUGAAUUUCUCUGAUUAGCAAUGUUGAGCUUUGCAGGAGUGGAAAUAUUUUUUCCUUCUUUCCUUCUUGGUGCUUUGGUUGGUCUAAUAAUUAAAUCGACAUGACAGAUUAACAGGAGAAAAAGAAGUUUAUGUUCAUAUGUAUAGAAGUCUCAAGGAUAUGAGACUUAAGAUCAAGUUGGGCAAUUGAGGCUUAUACGCCAUCCUAAGCUAAGGAAGGAGAUGGGGACCUGGGCCUUCAAAGAAAAUGAGAGAAAUUCACAGGAUGAUAAGAAUAGAUUCUUAUUAUUAGAAGUUUGCCUUGCAUGAAGACAUAUCUCUGAUUUAAAAAGUUAUCUCUGGGAGUUCUCACUGUGGCUGAGCUGUAAUGAACCCAGCUACUAUCUAUGAGGACACGAGUUUGAUCCCUGACUUUGCUCAGUGGGUUAAGGAUCUGGUGUUGCUGUGAGCUGUGGUGUAGGUUACAGAUGUGGCUCGGAUCCCAUGUUGCUGUGGCUGUGGCAUUGGUGGCAGCUGUAGGACCCCUUGCCUGGAAACUUCCAUAUGCCACAGGUACAGCCCUAAAAAAAAAAGAAAGAAAGAAAGAAAAAAGAGUAUCUCUGGUGAUAUUUCUUUUUCUGGUACAGGUCCCCUCUCUAAAUUCUUUUAGAUAGUUAAAGGAGUGGUAAAAAUUUUCUGAAACUGCUGGGUAUUGAUUACAUUCAGCAUAACAUAAUCCACAUGCCAAAGCAGUGUAUUAUGGAAUGGCAUAUCCUGCUCCCCUUCAGCAUCUGUUAGAAUACCUGUUUGCCAUUGGUAUAUCUUCUUGGUGGAAAUGUCUGUUCAAGACCUUGCCUUUUUUCUUUAAAUUCAGUUAUUAUUUUUUAAAAAGUUUUUGGUAUUGAUUCAUAUGAGUUCUUUCUAUAUUUUGGAUAUUAAUUCCUUAUAAGAUAUAUGGUUUGCAAAUAUUUUCUCCCAUUCCAUAGGUUGCCUUUUCAUUCUAUUGCUUUUUACCCUUUGCUAUGCAGAAAUUUUCAGUUUGACGUAGUCUCAUCUUGUCUAUUUUCACUUUUGUUUCUUUUGCUUUCAAUGUCAUAGCCAAAAAUUUAUUGCCAAUGCCAAUUUCAAGAAGAUUUCCUCCUGUUUCACUAUAAGUUUUACAGUUUCAGAUCUUCCAUUUAAGUCAAAUCCAUUUUGAGUUGAUCUUUGUGUAUGAUGUAAGAAUAGGUGUCAAAUUUAAUUCUUUUCCAUGUAAAUAUCUAGUUUUCUCAACACUAAAAGAGUAGACUUUCCCCAUUGUGCAUUCUUGGCACCCUUGUCAAAUAUUCAGUUGACCUUAUAUAUGUGUUUUUUAUUUCUAGGCUCUCUAUUCUGUUUUGUCUUUAUACUAAUACCAUACUAAAGCAAAGAUUUUUUUUUUUUAAAUGGUUUCAGCCUGUCAUGUUAGUUUUACAAUUGCAGUGAAACAUUUUUUCUUUAAAAAUAUUUUUACCAGUGAUUCUACUAAGAUUUGAUGAAAUAAAACUAUACAGUAAGACUAAAAUAAACUGAGCCUCACAUCAAAUUAUUAGUAAUUAUAAGAAAAUUCCCAUCAGAUCUUAAAUAAAAAAUUUUGCAAAUAUGCUAUUUAGAUUAAAAGAUUGAUAAUGAAUCCAAAGGGGAAGAUAGCAGUCAAUUAAAAAGAAAAUAAGGAAAGCAAAGGAAAGAAAAGAAAGAAUGAAGGAAAGAAGGAAGGAAGGAAAAGAAAGGGAAAGAAGAAAGAAAGAAAGAAAGA